ACACGGUCCAGACUCCUACGGGAGGCAGCAGUGGGGAAUAUUGGACAAUGGGCGAAAGCCUGAUCCAGCCAUGCCGCGUGUGUGAAGAAGGUCUUCGGAUUGUAGAGCACUUUAAGUUGGGAGGAAGGGCAGUAAAUUAAUACUUUGCUGUUUUGACGUUACCGACAGAAUAAGCACCGGCUAACUCUGUGCCAGCAGCCGCGGUAAUACAGAGGGUGCAAGCGUUAAUCGGAAUUACUGGGCGUAAAGCGCGCGUAGGUGGUUCGUUAAGUUGGAUGUGAAAUCCCCGGGCUCAACCUGGGAACUGCAUUCAAAACUGACGAGCUAGAGUAUGGUAGAGGGUGGUGGAAUUUCCUGUGUAGCGGUGAAAUGCGUAGAUAUAGGAAGGAACACCAGUGGCGAAGGCGACCACCUGGACUGAUACUGACACUGANGUGCGAAAGCGUGGGGAGCAAACAGG
rnacentral:rRNA from 1 species